rnacentral:rRNA from 1 species
CCUACGGGAGGCAGCAGUGAGGAAUAUUGGUCAAUGGACGAGAGUCUGAACCAGCCAAGUAGCGUGAAGGAUGACUGCCCUAUGGGUUGUAAACUUCUUUUAUAUGGGAAUAAAAUGCUCCACGUGUGGGAUUUUGUAUGUACCUUAUGAAUAAGGAUCGGCUAACUCCGUGCCAGCAGCCGCGGUAAUACGGAGGAUCCGAGCGUUAUCCGGAUUUAUUGGGUUUAAAGGGUGCGUAGGUGGAUUGUUAAGUCAGUGGUGAAAGUUUGCGGCUCAACCGUAAAAUUGCAGUUGAAACUGGCAGUCUUGAGUACAGUAGAGGUGGGCGGAAUUCGUGGUGUAGCGGUGAAAUGCUUAGAUAUCACGAAGAACUCCGAUUGCGAAGGCAGCUCGCUGGACUGCAACUGACACUGAGGCUCGAAAGUGUGGGUAUCAAACAGGAUUAGAUACCCGGGUAGUC